rnacentral:rRNA from 1 species
CGACUCUCGGCAACGGAUAUCUCGGCUCUCGCAUCGAUGAAGAACGUAGCGAAAUNCGAUACUUGGUGUGNAUUGCAGAAUNCCGUGAACCAUCGAGUCUUUGAACGCAAGUUGCGCCCGAAGCCUUCAGGCCGAGGGCACGCCUGCCUGGGUGUCACG